GGGGAAUAUUGCACAAUGGGCGCAAGCCUGAUGCAGCAACGCCGCGUGAGGGACGACGGCCUUCGGGUUGUAAACCUCUUUUGGCAGGGAAGAAGCGAAAGUGACGGUACCUGCAGAAAAAGCACCGGCUAACUACGUGCCAGCAGCCGCGGUGAUACGUAGGGUGCAAGCGUUGUCCGGAAUUAUUGGGCGUAAAGAGCUCGUAGGCGGUUUGUCGCGUCUGCUGUGAAAACCCGAGGCUCAACCUCGGGCCUGCAGUGGGUACGGGCAAACUAGAGUGCGGUAGGGGAGAUUGGAAUUCCUGGUGUAGCGGUGGAAUGCGCAGAUAUCAGGAGGAACACCGAUGGCGAAGGCAGAUCUCUGGGCCGUAACUGACGCUGAGGGGCGAAAGCAUGGGGAGCGAACA
rnacentral:rRNA from 1 species